UACAGAGGUCUCAAGCGUUGUUCGGAUUCACUGGGCGUAAAGGGUGCGUAGGCGGUCGGGUAAGUCUGAUGUGAAAUCUCACAGCUUAACUGUGAAACUGCAUUGGAUACUAUUCGGCUUGAGAGUUGGAGGGGGGACUGGAAUUCUUGGUGUAGCAGUGAAAUGCGUAGAUAUCAAGAGGAACACCAGUGGCGAAGGCGAGUCCCUGGACAACUUCUGACGCUGAGGCACGAAAGCUAGGGGAGCAAACAGG
rnacentral:rRNA from 1 species